rnacentral:rRNA from 1 species
AUUGAACGCUGGCGGCAGGCCUAACACAUGCAAGUCGAGCGGAUGAAGGGAGCUUGCUCCUGGAUUCAGCGGCGGACGGGUGAGUAAUGCCUAGGAAUCUGCCUGGUAGUGGGGGAUAACGUCCGGAAACGGGCGCUAAUACCGCAUACGUCCUGAGGGAGAAAGUGGGGGAUCUUCGGACCUCACGCUAUCAGAUGAGCCUAGGUCGGAUUAGCUAGUUGGUGGGGUAAAGGCCUACCAAGGCGACGAUCCGUAACUGGUCUGAGAGGAUGAUCAGUCACACUGGAACUGAGACACGGUCCAGACCCCUACGGGAGGCAGCAGUGGGGAAUAUUGGACAAUGGGCGAGAGCCUGAUCCAGCCAUGCCGCGUGUGUGAAGAAGGUCUUCGGAUUGUAAAGCACUUUAAGUUGGGAGGAAGGGCAGUAAGUUAAUACCUUGCUGUUUUGACGUUACCAACAGAAUAAGCACCGGCUAACUUCGU